rnacentral:lncRNA from 1 species
GCCUCAGCCCCCCUGCCCGGGGGAUGAAUAAUGCAGCGCGCUGGUAGGAGCCGUGUCCUCCCUCCCUCUCCUUCCUCCUCCUCCUCCUCCUCCUCGCGGCUCUGCCUUCCCCACCUCCCGCCGCUCAGUCCUCACCGUGCUCAGCCCGGGCGCUGCCGAACUCCGCGUGGCACCGGGCAGCAGCACAGAUCCUGCAGCCAUGGACCCCAAGGACCGCAAAAAGAUCCAAUUCUCAGUGCCGGCACCCCCCAGCCAGCUGGACCCCCGCGCCGUGGAGAUGAUCCGCCGGCGGAGGCCCACGCCUGCCAUGCUGUUCCAGCUCUCCGAGCACUCAUCCCCAGCGAGCCUCCGGCGAGGGCUGCCUGCUGA